rnacentral:rRNA from 1 species
UACGUAGGGGGCAAGCGUUGUCCGGAUUUAUUGGGCGUAAAGAGCGUGUAGGCGGCCAUUCAGGUCAGCUGUGAAAACUCGAGGCUCAACCUCGAGACGUCGGUUGAAACCGUUUGGCUAGAGUCCGGAAGAGGAGAGUGGAAUUCCCGGUGUAGCGGUGAAAUGCGCAGAUAUCGGGAGGAACACCUGUGGUGUAGACAGCUUACUGGACCAUUUCUGACGCUGAGACACGAAAGCGUGGGUAGCAAACAGG